rnacentral:rRNA from 1 species
UAGUACGAGAGGACCGGAGUGAACGCACCGCUGGUGUUCGGGUUGUCAUGCCAAUGGCACUGCCCGGUAGCUAAGUGCGGAAGAGAUAAGUGCUGAAAGCAUCUAAGCACGAAACUUGCCCCGAGAUGAGUUCUCCCUGACCCUUUAAGGGUCCUGAAGGGACGUUGAAGACGACGACGUUGAUAGGCCGGGUGUGUAAGCGCAGCGAUGCGUUGAGCUAACCGGUACUAAUGACCCGUGAGGCUUAACCUUACAACGCCAGAGGCG